GACGAACGCUGGCGGCGUGCUUAACACAUGCAAGUCGAACGGAAAGGCCCUGCUUUUGUGGGGUGCUCGAGUGGCGAACGGGUGAGUAACACGUGAGUAACCUGCCCUUGACUGUGGGAUAACUUCAGGAAACUGGGGCUAAUACCGGAUAGGAGCUCCUGCUGCAUGGUGGGGGUUGGAAAGUUUCGGCGGUUGGGGAUGGACUCGCGGCUUAUCAGCUUGUUGGUGGGGUAGUGGCUUACCAAGGCUUUGACGGGUAGCCGGCCUGAGAGGGUGACCGGCCACAUUGGGACUGAGCUACGGCCCAGACUCCUACGGGAGGCAGCAGUGGGGAAUAUUGCACAAUGGGCGGAAGCCUGAUGCAGCAACGCCGCGUGCGGGAUGACGGCCUUCGGGUUGUAAACCGCUUUCGCCUGUGACGAAGCGUGAGUGACGGUAAUGGGUAAAGAAGCACCGGCUAACUACGUG
rnacentral:rRNA from 1 species